GCCAGACUCCUACGGGAGGCAGCAGUGGGGAAUAUUGCACAAUGGGGGAAACCCUGAUGCAGCGACGCCGCGUGAGUGAAGAAGUAUUUCGGUAUGUAAAGCUCUCUCAGCAGGGAAGAAAAUGACGGUACCUGAUUAAGAAGCCCCGGCUAACUACGUGCCAGCAGCCGCGGUAAUACGUAGGGGGCAAGCGUUAUCCGGAUUUACUGGGUGUAAAGGGGGCGUAGACGGUGAUGCAAGUCAGAAGUGAAAGCCCGGGGCUCAACCCCGGGACCGCUCUGGAAACUGCCCGGCUGGAGUGCGGGAGAGGUAAGCGGAAUUCCUAGUGUAGCGGUGAAAUGCGUAGAUAUUAGGAGGAACACCAGCGGCGAAGGCGGCUUACUGGACCGUGACUGACGUUGAGGCUCGAAAGCGUGGGGAGCAAACAGGAUUAGAUACCCUAGUA
rnacentral:rRNA from 1 species